UACGUAGGGUGCGAGCGUUAAUCGGAAUUACUGGGCGUAAAGCGUGCGCAGGCGGUUCGUUGUGUCGGCGGUGAAAGCCCCGGGCUCAACCUGGGAAUGGCCGUUGAAACUGGCGAACUGGAGUGUGGCAGAGGGGGGUGGAAUUCCGCGUGUAGCAGUGAAAUGCGUAGAGAUGUGGAGGAACACCGAUGGCGAAGGCAGCCUCCUGGGCCAGCACUGACGCUCAUGCACGAAAGCGUGGGGAGCAAACAGG
rnacentral:rRNA from 1 species